rnacentral:misc_RNA from 1 species
CUGAUUUGCUUAAUUGCACCACAUGUGUUUUUCUUUGAAACAAACUUGCUUUGGCGGUGGGCCCAGCCUGCCGCCAGAGGUCUAAACUUGCAACCAAUUUUUUAUCAACUUGUCACACCAGAUUAUUACUAAUAGUCAAAACUUUCAACAACGGAUCUCUUGGUUCUCGCAUCGAUGAAGAACGCAGCGAAAUGCGAUACGUAAUAUGAAUUGCAGAUAUUCGUGAAUCAUCGAAUUUUUGAACGCACAUUGCGCCCUCUGGUAUUCCGGAGGGCAUGCCUGUUUGAGCGUCGUUUCUCCCUCAAACCGCUGGGUUUGGUGUUGAGCAAUACGACUUGGGUUUGCUUGAAAGACGGUAGUGGUAAGGCGGGAUCGCUUUGACAAUGGCUUAGGUCUAACCAAAAACAUUGCUUGCGGCGGUAACGUCUACCACGUAUAUC